GAUGAAGAACGUAGUGAAAUGCGAUACGUAAUGUGAAUUGCAGAAUUCAGUGAAUCAUCGAGUCUUUGAACGCACAUUGCGCCCCCUGGUAUUCCGGGGGGCAUGCCUGUCCGAGCGUCGUUGCUGCCCUCAAGCACGGCUUGUGUGUUGGGCCUCCGUCCUCCUCCCGGGGGACGGGCCCGAAAGGCAGCGGCGGCACCGCGUCCGGUCCUCGAGCGUAUGGGGCUUCGUCACCCGCUCUUGUAGGCCCGGCCGGCGCUUGCCGACACAUCAAUCUUUUUUCCAGGUUGACCUCGGAUCAGGUAGGGAUACCCGCUGAACUUAAGCAUAUCAAUAAGCGGAGGA
rnacentral:misc_RNA from 1 species